rnacentral:lncRNA from 1 species
ACCUUCUUUUAUUUUAAAGGCAUUAAGCCUUGUCCUAUUGCAACAGGCUCUGCAUCCUUGGAUGCUGUUGUCUGUCUGUCUGUCCCUGGUGCAGGGGGAAGCCAGCUUCACUCUAAAGGCAGUGUGGCCAGGCAGUUCCUUAGCUGUGGAUGAAGAGCAGGACCUUUGAGCCGAGCCAUUCCAGAUGACCUUGGGUGAAUUGGGCUGCAUCACGAGCGAGGACACCCCUUCUUCUGAACAGAUGAAAAGCCACCUUCUAAGCACACGGGCAUGUAACUUGAGGAGAUGCAGGUGGAUCACUCUCUACCAGAUCUCGAGGCAAAUAUUGGUCUAUGGUCCUUGCUCUCAGCAACAUCUUCAGUGUCCUGGUGAUGGGGUGCCUUGGAAGGACUGCGCAGAACAAGCUUCAUACCACCUCUGCACUUCAGGCUCUCUGCACUGAGGCAAUGAACACAGACCUGUACUUCACACAGGUUUUGCCACAGGAGCCUUUUCCAGUCCUGUCCCUGCUCAAACAGGGUCUGCCUGAACAUCCCUCAACAGCCGGCCAGAGCAACCAGCAAGCUUGCCAGAUGCUGCAAGAGAAGCAACGCUGGCAAGGCCGAAAGCUGGGAGCAGGAAGCGGCUGCGCCCUGAUGGCUGUCGUUUCCCCUGCGAGCCCCUCCUGUGUCCUGCCAGCUGCUCUCUGA